rnacentral:lncRNA from 1 species
AUGAUGUCAUACCUGUGGAUUCUGCUAUUAGGAAGCCUGCUGGCUACGCACGCCAAGGCACAAGACGAUAUAAUCCCAACAGUAGAGCCAUCUAUUGAAACUCCCACAUCUAAAGCAGAUGUAGAGGUCAUCGACCAACAUAACCUUGAGGAGGCAGUCACUGCAACUGAGGAAGUAUUGCAGCCUGAGCCCACUGCUGACCCUGAGACUGAAUUAAUCCAAGAAGCAAAUGCUGCAGAUGUAAGCACAGAGCCAGUGGCUACAGAUGCUCCUGCAGGUGAGGAGGGGGAAUCAGCAAGUCCUACGACUGGAGAAACAGAAGCAAUUAUUUCUGAAGCAGCUACAACCACACAAGCUGCUGAUUCUGAGGAUGACGCUCCAGAAGCUACGCAAACAGCAGUUAAUGAGGAGGAGCAACCCACCACAAAUGCGAAUACAACACCUGCUCAAGACAAGAGUGGACUUCAUGACAUCAUAACAACAGUAGGUCUAGAAACCAAUGAGGAGGCACCAACUGAUCCAUCUGCUAAUGAAGAGUCAUCCACAGAUGAUUUCACAACAUUCGCAGAUGAAACUGUCACUAUGAAUCCAGGGUUUAACAUUGAGAAGACGUCAAUUGCAGAGCAGGAAACACAUGGGUCAAACCAGGAAACUCACGUGAAGGGCAGGAUGGGACCACAGCUGAAUUCAGGUGCACCUCUGUCAAAAGAAGAAAGGAAAGACGAAGAUGUGUCUGCUUUGGGUGCCUCAGGGAGUGAUGAUAAACAGUCCCAAAAGGCCAGCUCAAGCUCUUUAGCAGCAAUCCUUAGUGCGAUUGUUGUGUCUGCAGUGGGAGCAAUCGCUGGAUACUUCACCUAUCAACAGAAGAAGCUGUGCUUCAAAAAUAGACAGGAAGCAGACCCUGAGGCUCCACACAAAGCUGAUGCAGCAGAGGCUCGGUCAGAUCCCCAGGGUAUGACACACACACACACACACACACACACACACAACGAAAACGUAAAGAACACAUUUUUUGAUAUAAAUAUUUACAUGUAG